rnacentral:rRNA from 1 species
CCUACGGGAGGCAGCAGUGGGGAAUAUUGGGCAAUGGGCGCAAGCCUGACCCAGCAACGCCGCGUGAAGGAAGAAGGCUUUCGGGUUGUAAACUUCUUUUCUCAGGGACGAAGCAAGUGACGGUACCUGAGGAAUAAGCCACGGCUAACUACGUGCCAGCAGCCGCGGUAAUACGUAGGUGGCAAGCGUUAUCCGUAUUUACUGGGUGUAAAGGGCGGGUAGGCGGGAAAGCAAGUCAGAUGUGAAAAACAUGGGCUCAACCUGUGGCCUGCAUUUGAAACUGUUUUUCUUGAGUACUGGAGAGGCAGACGGAAUUCCUAGUGUAGCGGUGAAAUGCGUAGAUAUUAGGAGGAACACCAGUGGCGAAGGCGGUCUGCUGGACAGCAACUGACGCUGAGGCGCGAAAGCGUGGGGAGCAAACAGGAUUAGAUACCCCUGUAGUC